rnacentral:tRNA from 1 species
GCGGACGUGGUGGAAUUGGUAGACACAAGGGACUUAAAAUCCCUCGCCAGAUAAUGGCUUACGGGUUCGAUUCCCGUCGUCCGUACCA